ensembl:lncRNA
GGAAAUCAUCUCAGACGGUGGUGAUGAUGAUGAUGAUGAUCCUACAGAGGAGGAAGAUUGGGUUUGGAGGUGUCAGGUGAUCGGGCAGGAAGAGCCACUUCACCACGUUGGAGUCCAUGUUGGAGGACGGAGGUCUCCAUGGAUAAUCUGCGGCCGGAGGGAACCCGAUACACAGAAUGUACUGGAAACAUAGCAGCCCUGAGAGGAAGUAGCAGUACUUGGGCCACACUGAGGCAAUGUGCCUCCUGCGCCGCUUUGAUAGGACACUGAUGAGACCAAAGGCAUGGCCUACAGCGAACAGGUCCAUCCGCUGGCCAAUCACGUUCACAGCCAACAGGAAGCAGGUAGUCCAGCAGUUUUCCGUCAGUCUUCCGUAGCCCCACCCACUGGGCGGGGUCAACUGCACCGGCGUACAGAACAGAGCGAGACAGGUCGGCGCUGGAGUUACCUGGCUACAGAGAGACAGACAGACCCAGAUGAUGUAGCAGGAGACGAUCUUAACUAUGUGGAGUUCCAGGAUCCACCACAGAAGGUGCUGCAGGCGCUGCAAGGAGAGGAGGAGGCGCAAGAACAAAACAGAGAGACGGUCCACCACCAACCUCCAGGAGACCAGCACUGAGGACGAGAGAACAGGAGUGAACUUCCUGUAUGGAAGAGUCCCAGGAGGAGUUGAGGGGUUUCACACACCGACAGGUCGAACAGGCUGCCGUCGGAGUGGACCAGCCUGCAGAGAGAGACAGUCUUCAGGUCGGUCAGCUGCAGGAAUGGCUUGUGGAAGUAAUGCAGGUGAACGAUGCACACCUGAGGAACAUGGUCAGGAGUCAACUUCCACAUGACAUGUGGCGCACACUGUCUCUGUGGAAAUGUGAGAGUACCAAGAGGAACGCAGCAGGGAUGAAGAUCCUGGUGAAGAGAACGGGAACCGAGAACUUCUCCAAACCAAUGUCCUCCAACCUGGACAGGAGCAGCACCUCCUCGUACGACACCUCCUCCUUCUCCUGCACGUCCUCAUCGGCACUCGGCUGCUCCUCUAACGGACGUAAAACAAGAGGGAGACGGACCAGUUAGCGCCUGACGCAGCAGCAACCAGAAGGUCAAGAGACACAACAACUGCAACGACAACAACAGUAGUAUCAGUACAAGUAGUAGUUGUAGUACAUGUAGUAGUAGUAGUAGUAGUAGUACCUUGGAGGCCAGCUCACUGCAGGGAUCUUCUUUCCUCGGGAACAGUCCCGGGACUUCUCGGAUGGGGGGGAAGCUGUAGACAUACUGCAGGAGGACCAGCAGGUUGCCGUAGGCGACCAGCCAGGGCGAUGACAUCAGCGUGUACCGGCGACGCUCUCGCAUCAUCCAGAGGACGCACGACCACAGCAGCAGCACACACGUCAGCCAGGACACCAUCAAACACAGAUAAGAACCGCCAUCAUGAAGGUCACUGUCUGUCCUAUGACACCAUCAUGUCCCCAAUGGUACCUGUCUGUCCUGUGGGAUACCUGUCUACCUCUCUACAGUAUCCUUCAACCCAUAAACUCACCUGAUUGGCUGAGAGAGUAGUGAGACGCGGCGUAAGCAUCCAAUUCAAAUACUUUGCUCUGGGUAGACGGGGCAAACGCGUCAGAGGGACUGUCAUCGGUGGAUGAUACCUAGAGACGGACCAAGAGACAGAAUGGGGACUUUAAACAACAAAAUUGAAUUCUGUGUAUUCAUGAAAUGAUCACAAUAAUGAAUGAAAGCGUAAUAUGUAUUUUUUUGUUUCCGUACGCCUCGGCACUCGGGACGAUCGUGAGCUCUCCUCCACGACUCUCUCCGUCCCUCCGCUGUGAUGUCACUGCCGACCUCAUCGCUCAAGUUGCUGGUGGCAGUUAUGAUGUCACAGCUCCCGCUGAUGGCUGACUCCUCCCUCUCUAUGCCCCACCACCCAACGCCAUCGAUCAGCUGCAGAAACAUGUGACACACUUCAGCCAAUUAGAGCGUCUUUCCUUCUCACCGUCCCUUCCCGUCCCUUCCUGACUGGCAGGACCAUACAGAUGUUUAUCUCUGCCAACUCCAUUUGGAAAGUG